rnacentral:rRNA from 1 species
CAAUAAGCGGAGGAAAAGAAACUAACAAGGAUUCCCCUAGUAACUGCGAGUGAAGCGGGAAAAGCUCAAAUUUAAAAUCUGGCAGUCUAUGGCUGUCCGAGUUGUAAUCUAGAGAAGUAAUGCCCGCGCUGGACCGUGUACAAGUCUCCUGGAAUGGAGCGUCAUAGAGGGUGAGAAUCCCGUCUCUGACACGGACUACCAGGGCUUUGUGGUAUGCUCUCAAAGAGUCGAGUUGUUUGGGAAUGCAGCUCUAAAUGGGUGGUAAAUUCCAUCUAAAGCUAAAUAUUGGCGAGAGACCGAUAGCGAACAAGUACCGUGAGGGAAAGAUGAAAAGAACUUUGGAAAGAGAGUUAAACAGUACGUGAAAUUGCUGAAAGGGAAACGCUUGAAGUCAGUCGCGUUAGCUGGGAAUCAGCCUUGCUUGUUGCUUGGUGUACUUUCUGGUUGACGGGUCAGCAUCAAUUUUGACUGCUGGAAAAAGGCCUUGGGAAUGUGGCAGCUUUGGCUGUGUUAUAGCCCUUGGUCACAUACAGCAGUUGGGAUUGAGGAACUCAGCACGCCGCAAGGCCGGGUUUCGACCACGUUCGUGCUUAGGAUGCUGGCAUAAUGGCUUUAAGCGACCCGUCUUGAAACACGGACCAAGGAGUCUAACAUGCCUGCGAGUGUUUGGGUGGUAAACCCUUGCGCGUAAUGAAAGUGAAAGUUGAGAUCCCUGUCGUGGGGAGCAUCGACGCCCGGACUUGAACUUUUGUGACGGAUCCGCGGUAGAGCAUGUAUGUUGGGACCCGAAAGAUGGUGAACUAUGCCUGAAUAGGGUGAAGCCAGAGGAAACUCUGGUGGAGGCUCGUAGCGAUUCUGACGUGCAAAUCGAUCGUCAAAUUUGGGUAUAGGGGCGAAAGACUAAUCGAACCAUC